rnacentral:rRNA from 1 species
UUUAACCUAAAACGAAAAAUUGCUAAUUAUUUGAUCCCAUCUCGAACUCAUAUAUAAUUUUUUCUUUAUUGAAACUACUGUUUAAAUAACGGAAAUAUCAAUCGGUUAAA